CCUACGGGGGGCUGCAGUGAGGAAUAUUGGUCAAUGGACGGAAGUCUGAACCAGCCAUGCCGCGUGCAGGAAGAAGGCUCUAUGAGUUGUAAACUGCUUUUGUACAAGGGUAAACCUGAAUACGUAUAUUCUGCUGAUAGUACUGUACGAAUAAGGAUCGGCUAACUACGCUCCAUCAGCCGCGGUAAUACGGAGGAUCCAAGCGUUAUCCGGAUUUAUUGGGUUUAAAGGGUGCGUAGGCGGAUUGAUAAGUUAGAGGUGAAAUGUCCGAGCUUAACUCGGGAACUGCCUCUAAUACUGUUGAACUAGAGAGUAGAUGAGGAAAGCGGAACGUAAGGUGUAGCGGUGAAAUGCGUAGAGAUCUGACAGAACACCGAUUGCGAAGGCAGCUUACCAAUCUAUAUCUGACGUUGAGGCACGAAAGCGUGGGGAGCAAACAGGAUUAGAUACCCGGGUAGUC
rnacentral:rRNA from 1 species